rnacentral:lncRNA from 1 species
CGAGAGGACGCGGCCCUGGCGGAGGAAGGGGCGGCCAGCUGAGGGAUGCGGGUGGCCUGAGGCAGGAAAAGGCAGGGCAGAGGCUCCCCAGAGACCCGGAUGUCACCCCCUGGGGACCCUUGCACCUCCCAGCUCCCGAGCUGGGGGGGGGGACACCUGUGCUGUUUGAGUGGCACUGCCGACAUUGGCGUUCCUUGUCGCAGCAGCCACAGGACAGUAGCACAUGGCCACAGUGGCCUGUCUAGGAAAGUGUGUCAGGAGACUCUGUUGGGAGGAGAGUGAGUGGGGCAUGUCCCAGUGUCCCCUCCUGGACUUCCCACCUGUGGGGAAGGGACGGGCUGGGUACCUUCCUGGAGAGCCAAGGUCGUGUCCACCCGAGGGAGGGUCCUGGGAAGGAGGGCAGCACUGAGCCGAAAGCUGCCCACGACUUAGGGAGCCCUGCGGAGGGACUGGGCAGGGGUGGCCUGGACCCCAGGCUCAGGUGAAGGGCCCUACUGCCCCAGCUGACAGCAGUGCUGGCCAGGGUUGGAGCCGGGACGGAGCCCUGGGCUGGGAGUCCUCAGCGGCUGCGGCGGGGGCAGUGGUCCCCUCCUGGGGGGGGCGGGGCACGGGGUCGGAGGCCGCUCUCCUUUCCAAGGGUUUUCUGAGGGCAGACUCCUCCUGGCUUCUCUCUGACCUUCCUGGGGGCUUGGGAGAGAGCCGGUGAGAUGACAGUCCCAGCCACACGGGGCCUGGGCCCUUCAGCUAAGGUCACGUCAACAGAGAGCCGCACAGGUGGGAAGAGUGAGGUCCAGAGAGGCAAAGACACUGGCUCAGGGCCACCCAGCAUGGAGUGGCAAAUUCUUGAUUUGAACUCAUGCCCCGCAGAUUCAGAGAACGAGGGACAGAGGAGGGGUUCUCGGGCCCAAGAGGCUAAGUCAGGAUGAACAAUCAAGGGGCCUCCUUUGGGCAGAAAUCAGGAGGCAGAGAAUUUUGGAGUCUGGUCUAUGAGAGCCAUUGGAGCAGGCACGGGGUGGAGAGGGGACAAGGCAGGGCCUGACUGCUACUGCUCAUGCCUACAAUCUCUGUGGCAGGAGCUCUGAACCCAGGGCCUCAGGCUGGGACACGUGUUUGGUGACACUAAGCCUCACGCAGAGCAGAGGGGAGUGAGCCGUGGGGCCUAGGCCGAGAAGCCGGCUCAGAGACGUUUCUGUUCCUCCUGCUGUGCCGCCCGGGGCCAGGCCCCAACCCCUCCUGCAGAACCCGAGGCUCAUGGACACCACCGAAGACCACCGGUGCCCCCGGCUCCUCACUGUGCCUGGACUCCCUCACCCCCGGCCCAGGCCAGGGAGUCCAAGGAGGCCAGCAUUUCCACAGCCCUUCCAAGGGGCUGGGCCUGGGUUCUCCUUGCGACAGAACCCAGUCUCUCUUAAGGAGGAACCUGACCUGGCUCAGAUUCUCACCAGCAAGGGGGCUUUGGGCAAGCCGCCGGCCUCAGCGCUAAACUGGAGGGGCAAAGAUCACCUAUGUUCAGAGGCCAAGAGUCUGGGCUUCCAAACCUCUUAAGCAAAUUAAAAGAACAGAUGUAUAACCUCCAUUAGACGGGGUUUUGUGAUUUCAGCCUUUACUGGCGCAACUGUCCUCAUUUGACCAGUGAGAAAACAGAGUCCAGAGAGGUAAAGUGACUCACCAAGGACACACAGCAAGGCCGUGCAGGGGUAGAGCCUGUGGGCCCUGGAUGUGUGCAUCUUCCUCUUCCCCCACACAGGGCUAACCCACAGGGGAGCUUACUCUAGUGACUCAGGUCUGAUCUGCCCCGAACUCCUCUCAUUCCUCUAUUUCUUACAAACGAGAAAACUGAGGCUCAGGGGACCUAACUCUCUGGCCCGCGGUCACCCAGCCUUCUGCACGGGAGCUGGGGAGCUCACACUCUUCCUGUUCCUAUUCUGGAAUGCAGCCUCCCAAAUCCCCAGCCAGGCCUCCGAGGCUAGGCUUGUCUGUCCCACCCGGUCCCAGGCCUGGGCUGAUUAACAGCAGCUAAACUCCGGGCAGCCCGGGCAUCACCCACACGCCCCAGGCACCCCCAGGGCGCCCGGGUGCAGGAAGCUGCAGAUGCCCUGGCCCCGCGGUGCCCAGCCUCUCCUGCUCCAUGCUCUAGCAAGGAGGGAGGACAGCUCCCGCGGUUGGCAGAGCAGCAGCGCUCCGGCUGAU